UUUUUCUCGCUGCAAAAUGUACCGGUAAACCAAACUUUCCGGGACUCGCUGGGUGGCCGACAUUUUCCCUAGCAGGAAUUUUACGUUUCCAAGAUCUGAAUGGAUGUUAAUGGUCGGGCUAAAUGCCAGGCAGGUCUUCACUGUCAAAUUAAACAGCGGUGGGAGCAAGUGGAAUAACCGAGUUCCCCUCCCGCACCUGAGCGCCGGCAGCGAGCCGCGAGUCCGGACCCCUCGCACGCGGGAAGACCCAGACGCCCGGCGGGCAGUGUCUCCGGCUUCCGCCUCCGGCUCCGGCUCCGGCUCCGGCUCCACUCCCCCGGCCCGCCUCUGCGUCAGGGACGCGGAAACCCCGUAGGAGCAGGGCGGGCGGGGAAAGUGGUGUUUGACUAACGCCGCAGCGAUAUUCUUCCGCCGCGAGGUAAAGAGUCCCAACCCAACCCCGGGCCCUAGGAUUUCCAGCGACCCUAUAAUAUCGAGAAAUUACCACAUUUGGAUUUUCCAACCGGCUUGCUUAGGAUUUUAUCCGACGUAACGACCCCAGGAUCACAAUUUUGUGGCUGACCGAAGCACGGCGAGAAAAUUCCUCCGCAAGAAACGGGUUCCGGCCACGAGCCUAUAAAAAACGGGUGGCGGGGCGCUGCUGUCUUUUCAGUCGGGCGCUGAGUGGUUUUUCGGAUCAUGUCUGGUGGCUCCGCGGAUUAUAACAGAGAACAUGGCGGCCCAGAGGGAAUGGACCCCGAUGGUGUCAUCGAGAGCAACUGGAAUGAGAUUGUUGAUAACUUUGAUGAUAUGAAUUUAAAGGAGUCUCUUCUUCGUGGCAUCUAUGCUUACGGUUUUGAGAAGCCUUCCGCUAUUCAGCAGAGAGCUAUUAUUCCCUGUAUUAAAGGGUAUGAUGUGAUUGCUCAAGCUCAGUCAGGUACUGGCAAGACAGCCACAUUUGCUAUUUCCAUCCUGCAACAGUUGGAGAUUGAGUUCAAGGAGACCCAAGCACUAGUAUUGGCCCCCACCAGAGAACUGGCUCAACAGAUCCAAAAGGUAAUUCUGGCACUUGGAGACUAUAUGGGAGCAACUUGUCAUGCCUGCAUUGGUGGAACAAAUGUUCGAAAUGAAAUGCAAAAACUGCAGGCUGAAGCACCACAUAUUGUUGUUGGUACACCUGGGAGAGUUUUUGAUAUGUUAAACAGAAGAUAUCUUUCUCCAAAAUGGAUCAAAAUGUUUGUUUUGGAUGAAGCAGAUGAAAUGUUGAGCCGUGGGUUUAAGGAUCAAAUCUAUGAGAUUUUCCAAAAACUAAACACAAGUAUUCAGGUUGUGUUGCUUUCUGCCACAAUGCCAACGGAUGUGUUGGAAGUGACCAAAAAAUUCAUGAGAGAUCCAAUUCGAAUUCUGGUGAAAAAGGAAGAAUUGACCCUUGAAGGAAUCAAACAGUUUUAUAUUAAUGUUGAGAGAGAGGAAUGGAAGUUGGAUACACUUUGUGACUUGUACGAGACACUGACCAUUACGCAAGCUGUUAUUUUUCUCAAUACAAGGCGCAAGGUGGACUGGCUGACUGAGAAAAUGCAUGCCAGAGACUUCACAGUUUCUGCUCUGCAUGGUGACAUGGACCAGAAGGAGAGAGAUGUUAUCAUGAGGGAAUUCCGGUCAGGGUCAAGUCGUGUUCUGAUCACUACUGACUUGUUGGCUCGCGGGAUUGAUGUGCAACAAGUGUCUUUGGUUAUAAAUUAUGAUCUACCUACCAAUCGUGAAAACUAUAUUCACAGGUGAGAAGCUAGCAUCUUGGAUGUAUUGAAAAAAAAUUCAUACAUUUUUCUACUGUGAUUUGUAUGAAAGGUAACAUCAAAUCAAAGAAUAGAUUCAGUCAAGUCAGUAGUGUUCAGUAAGAUGAUGUAAUUAAAUUUGUACUAAGGGAAGGCUGACGAGAACAAAGUGGGAAAACUUGUAAACAUUGCUCAGAUUGUGGGCAUAGGUUUUUUUUUUCCCCCGCAAUUGUUGGUCUUAGCUUAUGCUUGAGCUUUUAGUGAUGUUCUUGUGUCCAUGUGCUUUUUCUUGAUUUUUUCCAUAGUUGGGAUUUUCUUGGUGUCGCCUGGUAGCAAUUUGAGUGAACCCUGGUUUAGUUAUAGUGGCUUUAUCCCUAAAUAAAUUGAAUCGUACUUUGUUAUGUGAUGUAAAAAAAGACUUUUUAAAAAAUACAGGAGUCGAUAGCAGCAGUUGAUGACGAGAUGGCACUCAGAAACGGCGUUGACGUAAUUUAGGACGUGGAAUCAUAAGCGAAACAGCACACUGUUUGAAUAAAGAGCGAGUCGAAUUGGCAGAGGGGGUCGAUUUGGGAGGAAAGGUGUGGCUAUAAACUUUGUUACUGAAGAAGACAAGAGGAUUCUUCGUGACAUUGAGACUUUCUACAAUACUACAGUGGAGGAGAUGCCCAUGAAUGUGGCUGACCUUAUUUAAUUCCUGGGAUGAGAGUUUUGGAUGCAGUGCUCGCUGUUGCUGAAUAGGCGAUCACAACGUGCAUUGUGCUUCUUUCUUUGGGAAUAUUUGAAUCUUGUCUCAAUGCUCAUAACGGAUCAGAAAUACAGAUUUUGAUAGCAAAGCGACAUUAGUCGUGAGCUCUUGUGAGGAAAGUCAUUGGCUUUAUCCUCUUUAGAGUUAGACUGUUGGGGUGGGUAUAAAAGAUGGGGUCUGUAAAAUCUUUCUUUCUUAGAAAUUUAUUUCCUAGUUCUGUAGAAAUGGUUGUAUUAGAUGUUCUCUAUCAUUUAAUAAUAUACUUGUGGACUAAAAGAUAUAAGUGCUGUAUAAAAUCAGCCAAUUAUGUUAAACUAGCAUAUCUGCCUUUAUUGUGUUUGUCAUUAGCCUGAGUAGAAAGGCCUUUAAAAUUUUUUUUAGAAAGCAUUUGAAUGCAUUUUGUUUGGUAUUGUAUUUAUUCAAUAAAGUAUUUAAUUAGUGCUAAGUGUGAACUGGACCCUGUUGCUAAGCCCCAGCAAGCAAUCAUCCUAGGUAGGGUUUAAUCCCCAGUAAAAUUGCCAUAUUGCACAUGUCUUAAUGAAGUUUGAAUGUUAAAUAAAUUGUAUAUUCACUUUAAA